CCCCUCUCAGGGUCGCACCCGGAGAGUUUCCAGUACUCUACCAGUCUCGGCUACGGGAGGGAGAGUCGAGCAGAGGCCUACCCAUUCCAUUCCUAGUUUGGACUGUGGGUAAGGAGUGGAAGGCAAUCUGCUACCGGU
rnacentral:snoRNA from 1 species